GCCCUUGUAGCUCAGUGGUAGAGCGCUUCACUCGUAUCGCGUCAUGAAGAGGUCCGCGGUUCAAUCCCGCGUGGGGGCA
rfam:Aspergillus carbonarius ITEM 5010 unplaced genomic scaffold ASPCAscaffold_12, whole genome shotgun sequence.